GAGAGCCUUCUUGUCCCCAAGAAGUAUAAAAUUUUGGAAACUGAGCUUGAAUGAAGACUUUUCUUCCCAUGUAGCUUCAUCGUCAAGCAAAUUAAGCCACUUAAUGAGGCCUUGAAUCACAGGAAAAAUGUUUCUAAAAAUGGUUCUGGUCUUCAGUACUGCUUCUGGUGCCAUUGCAAUAGUAUUGUCUGCCUGUAAUUCUGGUAAUUCCAGAAUUGGA
rnacentral:misc_RNA from 1 species